rnacentral:rRNA from 1 species
UACGUAGGGGGCAAGCGUUGUCCGGAUUUAUUGGGCGUAAAGAGCGUGUAGGCGGCUUGACAAGUCUGCUGUGAAAACUCGAGGCUCAACCUCGAGAUGUCGGCGGAAACUGUCUGGCUAGAGUCCGGAAGAGGAGAGUGGAAUUCCUGGUGUAGCGGUGAAAUGCGCAGAUAUCAGGAGGAACACCGGUGGCGAAGGCGGGUCUCUGGGCCGUAACUGACGCUGAGGAGCGAAAGCGUGGGGAGCGAACAGG